rnacentral:sRNA from 1 species
UCCAUGGAAGGAGUUUGGGCUCUGGGGCCAGACACACCUAGGAACCCGCCCGGCUCUCCCUGGCUAUGUGAACCUGGCCAAAUGAUUUCCCCUCUCUAAGCCUCAGUUCCCCAUCUGUAAAAUGGAGUUGAUAUUCCCACCUUGCAGGGAUGUGGCAAGCUCAGUUGAGGCCAGAUGUGCCGCAGGCCCAGCACUAAGUCGACUUCCUGUCUUUCCAUGACCUGUGACCUCCCCGGGGACCCCAGGACCCACAGUGCCUCGCCCUGUUCCGCGUGGCAGUGGACAAGCACCAGGCUCUGCUGAAGGCAGCCAUGAGCGGGCAGGGAGUCGACCGCCACCUCUUUGCGCUGUACAUCGUGUCCCGAUUCCUCCACCUGCAGUCGCCAUUCCUGACCCAGGUCCAUUCGGAGCAGUGGCAGCUGUCCACCAGCCAGAUACCUGUUCAGCAAAUGCAUCUGUUUGACGUCCACAAUUACCCGGACUAUGUUUCCUCGGGCGGUGGAUUCGGGCCUGCUGAUGACCAUGGUUAUGGUGUUUCUUAUAUCUUCAUGGGGGAUGACAUGAUCACCUUCCACAUCUCCAGCAAAAAAUCAAGCACAAAAACGGAUUCCCACAGGCUGGGGCAGCACAUUGAGGACGCACUGUUGGAUGUGGCCUCCCUGUUCCAGGCGGGACAGCAUUUUAAGCGCCGGUUCAGAGGGUCAGGGAAGGAGAACUCCAGGCACAGGUGUGGAUUUCUCUCCCGCCAGACUGGGGCCUCCAAGGCAUCAAUGACAUCCACCGACUUCUGACUCCUUCCAGCAGGCAGCUGG